rnacentral:lncRNA from 1 species
UAUCACCGUAUCAGAUAUCCAAAACUCAAGCUGAAGGGAUCUUGGGCCUCCUUCCUUCAAUGGGCUCCCUCUGAGCGGGAAGCUACACCAGAAUACCUCAGGAGAUCCCUUCCAGCUUGUUUGCUCUGUUAUGGAAGUAAUUCCCUGCAUACAUAAACCAGGUACUAAUGCAGACCCUGACAGAUUCCAAAGGCAGAACCAUGGCAUUUGGGAAGGUUUAAGGAACACUGGAAGCAUCUGGAGCUGAAAAAUCAGGCAAAAAGUCAGUGGGCAAGCCACAGAUGACUCAGAGGAUGUCUGUGUGGAAAUAAAUGCUGUUGCUGGGAGGAAGUGCUUCUGAAGGAGGGGAAUGGGAGCUUUGUCAUAGGAGGGGAGGUGUUCAGAAGGAACCUGGAAGAUCUCUCUUUCAAGCAGCAUGUCUCCCAAGCAAAGCCUCCCAGGGGAGCUCUGGCAGGCACAGAUGGGUUCAGAGCAGAGCUAAUAUCUGCUGUGUGCUGCUCCAAGAAUCCCAGUGCUCAAUAACUCCAGAAGUAUAAUCAGAUAGGAACUAAAGUAGUAAAUACACUGAAAUAGUUUAAAUCAUUGUACAGGUAAU